rnacentral:sRNA from 1 species
UGACGACAAAGUUGUGGUAUUGUCAAGU